rnacentral:rRNA from 1 species
GACGAACGCUGGCGGCGUGCUUAACACAUGCAAGUCGAGCGGUAAGGCCCUUCGGGUACACGAGCGGCGAACGGGUGAGUAACACGUGGGUGACCUGCCUCUAGCUCUGGGAUAAGCCUGGGAAACGUGGGUCUAAUACCGGAUAUGACUCCACGGCGCAUGUUGUGGGGUGGAAAGCCUUGUGUGGCUAGAGAUGGGCCCGCGGCCUAUCAGCUUGUUGGUGGGGUGAUGGCCUACCAAGGCGACGACGGGUAGCCGGCCUGAGAGGGCGACCGGCCACACUGGGACUGAGACACGGCCCAGACUCCUACGGGAGGCAGCAGUGGGGAAUCUUGCGCAAU